rnacentral:rRNA from 1 species
GACGAACGCUGGCGGCGUGCCUAAUACAUGCCAGUCGAGCGGACGAAUCGAAAGCUUGCUUUUGAUUCGUUAGCGGCGGACGGGUGAGUAACACGUGGGCAACCUGCCCUGUAGACGGGGAUAACACCGAGAAAUCGGUGCUAAUACCGGAUAACACGAAAUGUCGCAUGACGUUUCGUUGAAAGACGGCGCAAGCUGUCGCUACAGGAUGGGCCCGCGGCGCAUUAGCUAGUUGGUGAGGUAACGGCUCACCAAGGCGACGAUGCGUAGCCGACCUGAGAGGGUGAUCGGCCACACUGGGACUGAGACACGGCCCAGACUCCUACGGGAGGCAGCAGUAGGGAAUCUUACGCAAUGGACGAAAGUCUGACGGAGCAACGCCGCGUGAGCGAAGAAGGCCUUCGGGUCGUAAAGCUCUGUUGUUAGGGAAGAACAAGUAACGCAGUAACUGGCGUUACCGUGACGGUACCUAACGAGAAAGCCACGGCUAACUACGUG